rnacentral:rRNA from 1 species
CAGUAGCCGCGGGAAUACGAAGGGGGCUAGCGUUGCUCGGAAUUACUGGGCGUAAAGGGAGCGUAGGCGGACAUUUAAGUCAGGGGUGAAAUCCCGGGGCUCAACCUCGGAAUUGCCUUUGAUACUGGGUGUCUUGAGUAUGAGAGAGGUAUGUGGAACUCCGAGUGUAGAGGUGAAAUUCGUAGAUAUUCGGAAGAACACCAGUGGCGAAGGCGACAUACUGGCUCAUUACUGACGCUGAGGCUCGAAAGCGUGGGGAGCAAACAGGAUUAGAUACCCGCGUAGUCCCUGUCUCUUAUAU